UACGUAGGUGGCGAGCGUUGUCCGGAAUUACUGGGUGUAAAGCGCGUGUAGGCGGGAGGCCAAGUCUGUGGUGAAAUCGCUCGGCUUAACUGGGCGGGGUCCAUGGAAACUGGUCACCUGGAGGUCGGUAGAGGCAAGUGGAAUUCCCGGUGUAGUGGUGAAAUGCGUAGAGAUCCGGAAGAACACCAGUGGCGAAGGCGGCCCGCUGGGCAGUGGCUGACGCUGAGGCGCGACAGCGUGGGGAGCAAACAGG
rnacentral:rRNA from 1 species